AAUAAUGUCUCAAGCAAACAACCACCUUUAGAACUAUCCAGACUAUGAGGCAAGCUUUAACUAAGCUACCUGUUUUGGUUCCUUAUACCAUGCUAAUGUUUGGUGGAAGUGUAACUGCACAAGAAAUACUUUUAUACAGGUUGAAUUUUCUAUGUUGGCAGACAGCCUUAUCCAGUGCGACAUACAAAAGUGAAGUGAAAGUGCAUAAAAACAGCAGAAUCCUUCUGAUGUUGCACAAAAGAAACCGACAUGAACAUGUCACAUUAGCAUCCUGCAAGGAAAAGGACAGUUGAUUGUCCAUGGUUACACAAGGUUGCAAGCAGUGGCCGAAGACGGAUCAGAGAGCUGUGCAGGGACAUCGCUAGAUCCUGGCCUGGGGAUGAAUCACUUAGGAUGACCAGCAGUUCAGUUUCAGUGAGAUUGAGUUUUCAUCUGAUGAGCCAUCAGCCACUAGACAUGCAGAGACCCAAGCAGAAGCUGGGUUUCUAUCCACAGUUUUACAGAUAGCAUCAACCACAAAUUCAGCUGGAUGUGAUAGAGCCAUACAAAGUCCCAAUCUCAGUGAAAAUCUCAGAGCUCCAUCCGCUGACUGCACCAAAAGCCAGGGAGCUGGAGAGUCGAGUGGUCAGAGCCUCAGUCUGCUGCUCAAAGCACGACAGAUGCGUCUCCCUCAGGAACAUCGCAGCCACACUAACAAACAUCACAGAAAAUUGUGAACAAAUUGCAGAUGCACAUUCUGAUCUAUAUCAAGCACUUGGAAACAGAGUCUUCCUCUAACCUCAGGUUAAAUGCGUCUAGACGGGAAAUUUCCGCAGGAGUGAAGCCACAAAGUAGAUUGCCAAGAGAAACCAACUCGACCACUCCGAGGUCUUCAGGCUUCUCUUUGCGGUGGCGCAGGAAUCCCUGUAGAGCCGCUCUCAUCUGUAAAAAAUAUGAAGUGGUAAAUUAAAUGGGAAGCUUGUAAAAUGUGUAUGGGGUGUAUGGUGUCCUGCAAUGGACUGGUCUUCCAUUCAGUGUGUAUUAAUGCCUCAGACACUAUAGACUCUGGAUUCACAGUUACCCAGACCAUUAUACGGGACUCACUGAAGAUUGAUAUUGUAUACAAUAAAUAUGAAACCUGCUCAUAUUUCAAAACCACAGAGUUUAUCCAGUAUAACAUUGCUGCUGAAUUCUUUACUAGCUUUGACAUUUUAAAACAAACAACAGAGAAUAGAUCGUUUAAAAUUGGACAAAAUGUAUGUGUAUGUUAUCAUCCCAUGAUGAAACCUAAUCAUCAUCCAUAUACACAUGUUCACAUUAAGUACUAUUUCAAUGUUGAGAUUACUUUUUAAUUUAAAGACAAGCAUUGCAGGUAAAUACAGGUUUAUAUAUGUUUGCAGACAUACUGUAUAUGUCUAAAAGUAGGUGGCUACCUAGCCAUCACAUCACACAGUUUUAUAGAAUGCCUUUGUAUGCUGUAGCAUUAAGAUUUUUCUUUAGUGGAACUAAGGAGCCCAGACUUGUUCCAGCAUGGCAAUGCCCUUGUGCACAAAUAAAAGUCCAAAAAGACAUGGUAUGCCAACAUUACAGUGAAAGAAUUUGAGUAGCCUGCACAGAUCCCUGCACUUAACCCCACUGAACACCGUUGGAACCCAGAACUCUUCAUUCAGCAACAGUGCUUUGACCUGAUUACUGGUUUCGAGGCUAAAUGAGAACAAAUCCCCACAACCACACUUCAAAAUCUAUUAUGCCCAGCGUUGCUCAGCAUCCAGAGCACCAUCCUGACCCAGGAAUUCAACACACUCCUUCAGUUCUCUUCUCUUCAUUCUAUUGAGCUGAUACCAGCGCCAAGCUGAGGGAAAAGUACCUUUGAUAUCCACGCACGUCGGGAUUGGCUCUGACAAAGGUUAAUGCACUUGCACAUUAGAUCAUAUCAAUUAGAUUUGAUUCAUUAUUUUUAUCUUGUGAUAGAUGCAGUAUAUUAAAGUAGUAAACAUGCCUCACCUCUUCU